rnacentral:rRNA from 1 species
AGAGUUUGAUCCUGGCUCAGGAUGAACGCUAGCGGCAGGCCUAACACAUGCAAGUCGAGGGGCAACAGGUGUAGCAAUACAUGCUGGCGACCGGCGCACGGGUGAGUAACGCGUAUGCAACCUACCCAUAACAAGGGGAUAGCUUCCGGAAACGGGAAUUAAUACCCUAUAGCACCUAUAUACCGCAUGGUAUUAAGGUUAAAACUACGGUGGUUAUGGAUGGGCAUGCGUGCCAUUAGUUAGUUGGCGGGGUAACGGCCCACCAAGACUGUGAUGGCUAGGGGGUCUAAAAGGAUGAUCCCCCACACUGGUACUGAGACACGGACCAGACUCCUACGGGAGGCAGCAGUGAGGAAUAUUGGUCAAUGGGCGAGAGCCUGAACCAGCCAUGCCGCGUGCAGGAAGACGGCCCUAUGGGUUGUAAACUGCUUUUGUUUGGGAAUAAAAGGCGCUACGUGUAGUGCACUGAAGGUACCAGAUGAAUAAGCAUCGGCUAACUCCGUGCCAGCAGCCGCGGUAAUACGGAGGAUGCGGGCGUUAUCCGGAUUUAUUAGGUUUAAAGGGUGUGUAGGCGGAAGACUAAGUCAGUGGUGAAAUCCCUCAGCUUAACUGGGGAACUGCCAUAGAUACUGGUUUUCUUGAGUACAGUUGAAGUAGGCGGAAUGUGUAAUGUAGCGGUGAAAUGCUUAGAUAUUACACAGAACACCGAUUGCGAAGGCAGCUUGCUAAGCUGUUACUGACGCUGAUGCACGAAAGCGUGGGGAGCGAACAGGAUUAGAUACCCUGGUAGUCCACGCCGU